rnacentral:misc_RNA from 1 species
GAUUAUUGUUAUUAUUUUUGGUGACAUUGAUGUUGGUUGGACAUUCAUUAGCAAAAACAAGGCAUUUUAAAUGGGAAGUUGGGUAUAUUCAUUGGUCAACAGAUGGUGAAGAAAGUGUUGUGAUGGGAAUAAAUGGUGCAUUUCCUGGUCCAACAAUUAGGGGGCGCGCUGGGGACAUAAUUGUUGUUGAACUUACUAAUAAACUUCAUACCGAAGGUGUUGUUAUUCAUUGGCAUGGGAUCCGACAGUUUGGAACACCAUGGGCUGAUGGAACUGCAGCAAUAUCUCAGUGUGCCAUUAAUGCUGGAGAAACAUUUGUCUAUAGGUUUAAAGUUGACAAGGCCGGGACAUAUUUCUAUCAUGGACACUAUGGUAUGCAAAGAUCAGCAGGUCUAUAUGGUUCACUCAUAGUGGAUGUUGCACAAGGUGAAAGAGAACCAUUCCAUUAUGAUGGAGAAUUCAAUUUAUUGCUAAGUGAUUGGUGGCACAAAGGUUCACAUGAACAAGAAGUUGACCUAUCUUCAAAUCCUAUGCGUUGGAUCGGUGAACCUCAGACAUUGUUGAUAAAUGGGAGAGGUCAAUACAAUUGUUCCAUGGCGGCGCAGUUUAGCAACCCACGGCUUCCACAGUGCAAGUUAAGAGGGGGUGAGCAAUACGCACCUCAGAUUCUCCGCGUGCGCCCCAACAAGACAUACAGGCUUAGGUUAGCCAGUACCACUGCAUUGGCUUCACUCAACUUGGCAAUUGGGGGUCACAAGAUGGUGGUUGUAGAGGCAGAUGGAAACUAUGUUCAACCAUUUUCAGUACAAGACAUAGAUAUUUAUUCAGGUGAAAGCUAUUCAAUUCUUUUCACCACAAAUCAAGACCCUUCCAAAAACUAUUGGAUUUCAACAAGUGUAAGAGGAAGAGAACCAAACACACCACAAGCCCUCACUCUAUUGAAUUACCUCCCAAAUUCACCAUCCAAAUUCCCAACAUUACCACCACCUAUUGCACCCCUUUGGAAUGAUUAUAACCAUAGCAAGUCAUUUUCUAACAAAAUUCUUGCCCUAAUGGGAUCACCUAAGCCACCAAUUAAAAACAAUCGUCGUAUUGUUUUACUCAAUACUCAGAAUAAAAUCGAUGGUUACACAAAAUGGGCUAUUAAUAACGUGUCAUUAGUCUUACCAACGACUCCCUACUUAGGGUCCAUUCGAUAUGGUAUAAAUAAUGCUUUCGAUACUAGACCUCCCCCGGAUAAUUUCCCUAGAGACUAUGAUGUUAUGAAACAAGCACCAAAUUCUAAUGCUACAUAUGGAAAUGGUGUGUAUAUGCUAAAGAU